UCAUCCUUACCAUGAAAAGCACAAGUAGUGUUAACAUUUGUUUGCUUCAAUGAUAAAGGAAAAGUCAUUAGGAAGAAGGUAGGGAUAUACUCACAACUUUAGGCCCCUCUUUUUUCUUUUCCAUAUCCCUUUAUAUCAAUAGCAAAGUGGCUUUUCUUUUUAUAUAUAUGUUUUGUUGUGACCAGUUGAUUUGGGUUAGUAUGGAGGAACACGUAGUAGGUUGGAACAACUUGUUUCUUACGUUAGAUGAACAUUAUCCAGUGGUUUCUCAUUGCAAGAACAACUAAAUUGGAGGUUCAUCAUUCUACCCUUGUGUUUUCUACUAAAUGAAUUGAUGAGAUUCUCUUUUUGGUUUUCGGUGAGAGGGGGAUUAGUUCAUUUGGGAUCAAUAGGUGGUAGACCGCUGACCAUAAAGCCAACUUUAAAUGGUUGGUUUGCUAAAUUUCAGUUACUGAAGAACGUAAAUUACAAGGUCUCCCUACGAGGAGUACAGUGCAAUCUUUCUCAAGAAUAUCAUACAGAUUCUUUCUUACUUCAAUUCACCAUUACGUGUUUUAUCUCAAUUGACGUAUGUUAGAGGGAUUGUUAAGAGAAUCGGCUCAGGUAUAGACAUUCAGUUUGACGAGCCCUCAAAGUAGACGAGGUCAACAUUCAACGAAGAAUCGGUAAGACUCCAUCUCAUUCGGAGUGCAGCCGAGUUUUAUGAGGCAUCGUGUCAUAAUUUUGCUACACACUUAUGUGUAGGCUGGUACCCUGUCCCAUUUGAUGUCAAAUAAUCUUAGAGAUUUUGUAGACAGAGGUUCAUUUUGUGUGGUACGUCAAAGGCCUUGACGGCCAUAUGUAUUCAUGUUUUAAGAACGAUGGUUCAGUAAUAUAAUAUUUUUCCACUUACAAUUGUA